rnacentral:rRNA from 1 species
UACGUAGGCAGCGAGCGUUGUUCGGAAUUACUGGGCGUAAAGAGUGUGUAGGCGGUGCUCUAAGUUCGGUGUGAAAUCUCCUGCUUAACUGGGAGGGUGCGCCGGAAACUGGAGUGCUCGAGCGUGGGAGAGGGAAAGCGGAAUCCUGGUGUAGCGGUGAAUGCGUAGAUAUCAGGAGGAACACCUGUGGUGUGAGACGGCUUUCUGGACCAUAGCUGACGCUGAGACACGAAGCGUGGGUAGCAAACAGG